UCAAAUUGAUAAAUAUCAUUAUCAACUUCAAUAACUUUUGAUUAUUGUUCUGAUAACGUUGAAUUAUCGUUUUGAUAAACUUUUAGUAUCGAAACGACAACUUUCUUUAUCAUUUUGAUAAAUAACAUUAUUGCUAGAUUUUUUCCGCAUGCACGUUUUUGCCUGUCAUUCGAAACAUAAACAAACAAACCAAAAUGAGUGAGGAAACGAACAAGUUUCUUUAAAGAUGCUGUACCCGGAGGAUUUGGCCAGCUUACAAAAAAGUUGCGUGUUUCCUGAACCAAAAAAUCUACCAGAAAUCUGGACAGCGUCAAGCCGCUUUUCGACGUCAACACAACGCACCCGGUAUCGAAAAAUUCCUCCAAGGCGGAGUUUCAACCCGAUGGAGAGUCCAAACCUCUGUCACAAACGGCAGCAACCGAUGGACCAUUCACCGAGUAGGAUUAUCUUCUUAUGGUAUUACAUUUUUGUAACAAAAUAAAGUUUUUAAAGCAGCAUA